GACGAACGCUGGCGGCGUGCCUAAUACAUGCAAGUCGAGCGAAGCGGCGGAUGGGUAAGUAACGCGUGGGUAACCUGCCCUAGAGUCUGGGAUCCCAGUUGGAAACAGAUGCUAAUACCGGAUACUAAAGGAUGGACCGGGGAUGCAUUAGCUAGUGGGUAAGGUAACGUCUUACCAAGGCGAUGAGGCAUAGCCGGGUUGAGGGACUGUUCGGCAACAUUGGGAUGGAGCACCGGCCCAACCGCCUACGUGAGGAGGCAGUAGGGAAUCUUGCACAUUGGACGAAAGUCUGAUGGAGCAACGCCGCGUGAGGAAAGAAGUUUUUCGGAUCGUAAAGCUUUGUUGUUGGGGAAGCGUAAAUAAACCAGAAAGUCACGGCUAACAACGUGCCAGCAGCCGCGGUAAUC
rnacentral:rRNA from 1 species